GGGUUUUAGGAUGGGUUUCUGUAAAUAAAAUACAUUUGAUUUCAAUUGUGUUGAAUAUACAAUGCAUUUUCUAUACUCAUUGGUCUCACUGUGUCUUGAAGGAUCUGGAAAGCAACCUCAACAUGAUCCUGAACAGAGUGAGAACAAGCGAGGAUGUGAAAGCGGAGGUGCGGGACAAAAUAUGGACCGCCCUGCGACACGAGGACGACAGAACGCAACCGCUAGUAAAUGAGUAGCGUUUGGAACAGUACCUCCUUUUGUCCACUAGGGGGUACUCUUUAACAAGCUAAUCUGAAGACCAUAACUAGAUAUAUAAUGGAAGACAGGAUAUUUACUCAUUCGCCAAGCUUCACAUCACUUGUAAUAAUUGUUAUUCGAGCUGACAUUAAAAUAUCUCUGAUUGGCAACAGAAGUACGAUGGCAUUAGUUACAACAGCAACAACCACACAUUCAAAUGUAGUCCWUACAAGAGUCAAUGGUACUGUAAUGACAUCAUUUAAGUAUCUUAUUUGACUUAUCAGACUGUGUUAAUAGUGUUUCAACAAUAAAGAUAUAAUUGAG